AACGAACGCUGGCGGCAGGCCUAACACAUGCAAGUCGAACGCCCGUAGCAAUACGGGAGUGGCAGACGGGUGAGUAACGCGUGGGAACGUGCCCUUCGGUUCGGAAUAACUCAGGGAAACUUGAGCUAAUACCGGAUACGUCCGUAAGGAGAAAGAUUUAUCGCCGAAGGAUCGGCCCGCGUCGGAUUAGCUAGUUGGUGAGGUAACGGCCCACCAAGGCGACGAUCCGUAGCUGGUCUGAGAGGAUGAUCAGCCACACUGGGACUGAGACACGGCCCAGACUCCUACGGGAGGCAGCAGUGGGGAAUAUUGGACAAUGGGCGAAAGCCUGAUCCAGCCAUGCCGCGUGAGUGAAGAAGGCCUUAGGGUUGUAAAGCUCUUUCAGCGGGGAAGAUAAUGACGGUACCCGCAGAAGAAGCCCC
rnacentral:rRNA from 1 species